rnacentral:misc_RNA from 1 species
UGAGAAAGCACGCCAAUGGAAGGGGCUCGAACUCAUUCCAUCAGAAAAUUUCACUUCCGUUUCGGUGAUGCAAGCAGUUGGAUCAGUCAUGACUAACAAGUACAGUGAAGGAUAUCCUGGUGCCAGAUACUAUGGAGGAAAUGAGUACAUAGACAUGGCAGAAACCUUAUGCCAGAAACGUGCUUUGGAAGCAUUCAGGUUGGAUCCUGCAAAAUGGGGAGUG